rnacentral:rRNA from 1 species
UGGGGAAUCUUCCGCAAUGGGCGAAAGCCUGACGGAGCGACGCCGCGUGGGGGACGAAGGCCUUCGGGUCGUAAACCCCUGUCAGAGGGAAAGAAGGGUGCCGGCGUGAACAGCGCCGGCAUUUGACGGUACCCUCAGAGGAAGCCACGGCCAACUCCGUGCCAGCAGCCGCGGUAAUACGGAGGUGGCAAGCGUUGCUCGGAAUCACUGGGCGUAAAGGGCGCGUAGGCGGGGAGGUAAGUCGGGUGUGAAAUCCCUCGGCCCAACCGAGGAACUGCGCCCGAGACUGCUUCUCUUGAGUCCCGGAGAGGAAGGUGGAAUUCCCGGUGUAGCGGUGAAAUGUGUAGAGAUCGGGAGGAACACCGGUGGCGAAGGCGGCCUUCUGGACGGUGACUGACGCUGAGGCGCGAAAGCGUGGGGAGCAAACGGG